rnacentral:rRNA from 1 species
ACGCUGGCGGCAGGCCUAACACAUGCAAGUCGAGCGGUAGAGAGAAGCUUGCUUCUCUUGAGAGCGGCGGACGGGUGAGUAAUGCCUAGGAAUCUGCCUGGUAGUGGGGGAUAACGUUCGGAAACGGACGCUAAUACCGCAUACGUCCUACGGGAGAAAGCAGGGGACCUUCGGGCCUUGCGCUAUCAGAUGAGCCUAGGUCGGAUUAGCUAGUUGGUGGGGUAAUGGCUCACCAAGGCGACGAUCCGUAACUGGUCUGAGAGGAUGAUCAGUCACACUGGAACUGAGACACGGUCCAGACUCCUACGGGAGGCAGCAGUGGGGAAUAUUGGACAAUGGGCGAAAGCCUGAUCCAGCCAUGCCGCGUGUGUGAAGAAGGUCUUCGGAUUGUAAAGCACUUUAAGUUGGGAGGAAGGGUUGUAGAUUAAUACUCUGCAAUUUUGACGUUACCGACAGAAUAAGCACCGGCUAACUCUGUGCCAGCAGCCGCGGUAAUACAGAGGGUGCAAGCGUUAAUCGGAAUUACUGGGCGUAAAGCGCGCGUAGGUGGUUAGUUAAGUUGGAUGUGAAAUCCCCGGGCUCAACCUGGGAACUGCAUUCAAAACUGACUGACUAGAGUAUGGUAGAGGGUGGUGGAAUUUCCUGUGUAGCGGUGAAAUGCGUAGAUAUAGGAAGGAACACCAGUGGCGAAGGCGACCACCUGGACUGAUACUGACACUGAGGUGCGAAAGCGUGGAGAGCAAAC